CGCCCCACCCGGCGCCCCAGCGCGCGGUUCCGGCGAGCCCGGCUCCGGCCCCGGUAGUCCGCUCCAGGCCGCUCCGGACCGCUAACCGCUCCGUAGGUGCUGGCCGCGCUCCGUGCUUUCCCUCCAGCCCUUUGUGUCCCGGCGCGCGUCGGAGGGAACGCGGGAACGCGCGCCGUGCCGUGCGCCUGCGCAAGGGGGCGGGACGGCGCGCCUUGCCAGGAGUCGUGAGUGGGCGCUGUUCCGGGUCGCCCCGUCCCGCCCCGCCCCCAACCGCCAUUUCGUGCUCCGGCGCGCGCGGACUCCGCGUGAUGGACGCCCGGAAGCAGGGACAACAAAGGCCCCUGCGCAAGGGCCGCCCGGUCUGCUGAUCUUUCCGCUGCUCGCGGGGCGAAGAUGGCGCCCAGACCCUACAGCUGUGCCCGAGUUUGGGUCGAAUGGGCGCCUCUACUUUCUCUGGACUAGGCCUGAGAGUUGGCCCAAGGGGCAUGCAGGACCUCGUGUGUGCACAACCCUGGGGUGUGCCUCUUUCCACGUGUGUACAACCUCGGGACAGUGCACUCGUCCCAGUAUACGUAGACUUGUGUUUGCACCAUCCGAUAUGCACGAACCGGUGGGUUUCCACGUUUUCCUCUGUGCACGAUCUCAAGGAUUUGCUUUUCACACGAGUGUGCGCACACUUGUGUUUGCACCGAAUGGCUGUCCACAGAGCUCAUUGGGCGUCUCCCACUUUGCAUUGGGGCCACGCAGUGACAGCGAUGGGUAGCUAGUGAAAGAAACACAAAGAAAUGGGCAGUUACGGGCAACACGGUGAAGUUGGGAAGGAGUCCCCUGGCCCGAAAGAUUUGAAAAACCUUUUUGGAGAAAGCAUGAGCCAAGGCCAGGGCCUGGCUACAGAGGGAAUCAGGGGUCAAGUCCCAAUUUCCUGUUCAGGCCUGAGAAGUUUUUUCUAGAAGGCAUUUAAACAGGAGAUGCCACCAAAUUCCUUUUGAGACUAUGGGGUUGAAGGAGAAGAGGCGGGUGAUAGGAGGGUAUGUGGUAAAGAGGACUGUUUGUGGGGCCCAAGGAACAAGAGAGUGGGAACAGGCUCAGAAGGAAAGUGGCCUCCCCAGGGAAGGAAUGGGGUAUGAAAACAGGAUGGGGGACUAUGGUCUCGCCAGCUGUUUACACCUCCUGGUGUUUCAGGCUCUUCUGUGUUGAGCACACUCCUCUCUCUGGGGGAGAGACAAAGACUUAAGCCCCAGGGCUGACCUUUACUGGCUGGGUGCCUGGGCAAGCACCUAUGUCAGUGGAGAAGUCUGCAGGCACAGAGCAAGAAUAACCCAGAAUAAACAUGGGAUGUUAGCAUUUA